UACGAAGGGGGCUAGCGUUGUUCGGAAUUACUGGGCGUAAAGCGCACGUAGGCGGAUUGUUAAGUCAGGGGUGAAAUCCUGGAGCUCAACUCCAGAACUGCCCUUGAUACUGGCAAUCUUGAGUCCGGAAGAGGUAAGUGGAACUGCGAGUGUAGAGGUGAAAUUCGUAGAUAUUCGCAAGAACACCAGUGGCGAAGGCGGCUUACUGGUCCGGUACUGACGCUGAGGUGCGAAAGCGUGGGGAGCAAACAGG
rnacentral:rRNA from 1 species